GAUGAACGCUGGCGGCGUGCCUAAUACAUGCAAGUCGAGCGAACAGACGAUGAGCUUGCUCCUCUGCCGUUAGCGGCGGACGGGUGAGUAACACGUGGAUAACCUACCUAUAUGACUGGGAUAACUUCGGGAAACCGGAGCUAAUACCGGAUCAUAUAUUGAACCGCAUGGUUCAAUAGUGAAAGACGGUUUUGCUGUCUCUUAUAGAUGGAUCCGCGCCGCAUUAGCUAGUUGGUAAGGUAACGGCUUACCAAGGCGACGAUGCGUAGCCGACCUGAGAGGGUGAUCGGCCACACUGGAACUGAGACACGGUCCAGACUCCUACGGGAGGCAGCAGUAGGGAAUCUUCCGCAAUGGGCGAAAGCCUGACGGAGCAACGCCGCGUGAGUGAUGAAGGUCUUCGGAUCGUAAAACUCUGUUAUUAGGGAAGAACAAAUGUGUAAGUAACUAUGCACGUCUUGACGGUACCUAAUCAGAAAGCCACGGCUAACUACGUG
rnacentral:rRNA from 1 species